GUUCAGGGAUGGGAAUCGAACCCACAGUGUUCCGCUUACCGGGCAGAUGCCAUGUCCACUCGGUUACCCUGGA